AUGGUUUUUAUCCUCAUCCCCGCCCCAUCACCCAUCAAACCAAGACCCAUCUCCGCCCCAAUUGGGGCGAGGAUGGAGCAGAUCUCUUAUUUGACCCGUCACACUAACAUCCCUAGUUAUAAUUUUCUUCCCAGUCCUCCGGAUUGAUUCUCAUCACUCGCCACUCGCCUCUCCAAACCAAAAAAAAAAAAAAAAAAAAAAAAAAAAAAAAAAAAGAUUUUACUCCGAAUGUGAAAAUAGUGUAAUUUCUUAUUGAAAUCUUCCUGAUUGUUAACUAAAAAUCCCUCAAAUUCGUCGAAAGUACUCCGUAAAUAUUUCUAUUGUUAUGAAUUCACAAUCACCAUCUAUUACUCUCCAUUUAAGGGGAUGGAAAGAAACAUAAAUUAGCAUUUUCUUAAUAGGUUUGAUAAAAUUGCCAAAAAAAUAGCAUGAACUUCUGGCUUCUGCGCGCCAACUGUUUGAUGAAAUGCCUGAAAGAGCCAGCUCUAGACUUGAAUCCGUCACCAGAAUAUCCAGUUGGGCAAGAACAUCUGUAACUCCCUGGAAUAUUUUUACAGUCCAUGCUACAUGGGCUAUUUGAACCAGCAGCACACUCAUCAAUAUCUGGGAAAAAAGCAAUUUGGUUGUUAAAAUUUG